AGGGCAACAGGUGAAUGCCUUGGCGCUGAGAGGCGAUGAAAGACGCGGUAAGCUGCGAUAAGCAUCGGGGAGGAGCUAAACAUCCUACGAUCCGAUGAUUUCUGAAUGGGGAAACCCGAUGGGAGUCAUGUCCCAUCAUCCUGAGCUGAAUACAUAGGCCCAGAGAAGCCAACCCGGGGAAGUGAAACAUCUCAGUACCCGGAGGAAGAGAAAUCAAACGAGACUCCCAAAGUAGCGGCGAGCGAAAUGGGAAGAGCCCAAACCGAGUGGUUUCGACCAUUCGGGGUUGUAGGGCCGGCAUACGCGAUUCUGGAGUAGGCAGAGGAAGCGAGCUGGAAAGCUCCGCCACAGCGGGUGAUAGCCCCGUACUCGAAACCGAAAAGGACGCAGCCGGUACCUGAGUACUGCGAGGCACGUGAAACCUCGUGGGAAUCUAGGGGGACCAUCCUCUAAGGCUAAGUACUCCUCAGCGACCGAUAGUGAACUAGUACCGUGAGGGAAAGGUGAAAAGAACCCCUGUUAGGGGAGUGAAAUAGAAUCUGAAACCUGUUGCCUACAAGCUGCGAGAGCUACUUCGGUAGUGAUCGCGUGCCUUUUGUAUAAUGAGUCAGCGAGUUACUCUACCGUGCGAGGUUAAGCGAAAGCGUAGCCGUAGUGAAAGCGAGGCUUAACAGGCCGACUAGUACGUUGGAGUAGACCCGAAACCGGGUGAUCUAUCCAUGAGCAGGUUGAAGCAAGGGUAAAGCCUUGUGGAGGACCGAACCGUCAACGGCUGAAAACGUUCCGGAUGACUUGUGGAUAGGGGUGAAAGGUCAAUCAAACCCGGUGAUAGCUGGUUCUCCCCGAAAUAUAUUGAGGUAUAGCCUCGGGAAUUGAUUAGCGGAGGUAAAGCACUGACAGAGCUAGGGGUCCUACCAGAUUACCAAACUCUAUCAAACUCAGAAUGCCGCUUAAUUGUAUCCCGGGAGUCAGACGGCGGGUGCGAAGGUUCGUCGUCAAAAGGGAAACAGCCCAGACCAACAGCUAAGGUCUCCAAAUCCAUGCUCAGUGGUGAAGGUAGUGGAACCGUUCAGACAGCCAGGACGUUGGCUUAGAAGCAGCCAUCGUUUAAAGAAAGCGUAAUAGCUCACUGGUCUAAUGGCUCUGCGCCGAAAAUGUAACGGGGCUAAGCAUGGUACCGAAGCUUUGGCAAUCUCCUUUGGAGAUUGGGUAGGGGAGCGUUCGCUGCGGGCUGAAGGUGUGCCGGAAGGCAUGCUGGACUGCAGUGAAGUGAUUAUGCUGACAUGAGUAACGAUAAAAUAUGUGAAAAACAUAUUCGCCGAAAACCCGAGGUUUCCUGGGUAAAGGUAAUCUUCCCAGGGUUAGUCGGAUCCUAAGGUGAGGGUGAAAGCCGUAACCGAUGGAAAACAGGUUAAUAUUCCUGUACUUGUUGUGUAGCGCGAUGGAGGGACGCAGGAAGAUAGGCGGGCCGGGUGUUGGAUAUCCCGGUGCAAGCGUGUAGGAAUAUCCGGUAGGCAAAUCCGCCGGACGAAUCUGAGACGCGAGUCCGUGGGCGCAAGCCCUGAAGCCGUUGAGUCUAUGCUGCCUAGAAAAGCUCCUAAGUUUAUCCACAGCAAUCCGUACCGCAAACCAACUCAGGUGGGUGGGAUGAAUAAUCCAAGGCGCUCGAGAGAACUCUGGCCAAGGAACUCGGCAAAAUAACCCCGUAACUUCGGAAGAAGGGGUGCUCUCUAGGGUGACAUGUUUAACAUAUGAAGCCCCGGGGAGCCGCAGUGAAUUGGUGGUGGCGACUGUUUACUAAAAACAUAGGUCUGUGCGAAGUCCUAAAGACGACGUAUACGGACUGACGCCUGCCCGGUGCUGGAAGGUUAAAAGGAGGGGUCAGCGCAAGCAAAGCUCCGAAUUGAAGCCCCAGUAAACGGCGGCCGUAACUAUAACGGUCCUAAGGUAGCGAAAUUCCUUGUCGGGUAAGUUCCGACCUGCACGAAUGGCGUAACGAUCUCCACACUGUCUCGGCCAGAGACUCGGUGAAAUUGCAGUCGCGGUGAAAAUUCCGUGUACCCGCAGAAAGACGGAAAGACCCUGUGCACCUUUACUAUAGCUUGACAUUGGAUUUUGGGCCUGCAUGUGUAGGAUAGGUGGGAGGCUGUGAACCCUGUACGCCAGUAUGGGGGGAGCCAUCCUUGAAAUACCA
rnacentral:rRNA from 1 species